GAAAAUUUAUUAUUAGAUGAGCCUAUAUUAGAUUAGCUAGUUGGUGGAGUAAUAGCCUACCAAGGCAAUGAUCUAUAGCUGAUCUGAGAGGAUGAUCAGCCACACUGGAACUGAGAUACGGUCCAGACUCCUACGGGAGGCAGCAGUGGGGAAUAUUGGACAAUGGGCGAAAGCCUGAUCCAGCUAUGCCGCAUGAGUGAAGAAGGCCUUUGGGUUGUAAAGCUCUUUUAGUGAGGAAGAUAAUGACGGUACUCACAGAAGAAGUCCUGGCUAACUCCGUGCCAGCAGCCGCGGUAAUACGGAGAGGGCUAGCGUUAUUCGGAAUUAUUGGGCGUAAAGGGCGCGUAGGCUGAUUAAUAAGUUAAAAGUGAAAUCCCGAGGCUUAACCUUGGAAUUGCUUUUAAAACUAUUAAUCUAGAGAUUGAAAGAGGAUAGAGGAAUUCCUGAUGUAGAGGUAAAAUUCGUAAAUAUUAGGAGGAACACCAGUGGCGAAGGCGUCUAUCUGGUUCAAAUCUGACGCUGAGGCGCGAAGGCGUGGGGAGCAAACAGGAUUAGAUACCCUGGUAGUCCACGCUAUAAACGAUGAAUGUUAAAUAUGGGAAGUUUA
rnacentral:rRNA from 1 species